GACGCUUUGUCAGAGUGGUUAAUGAGUUGGACUCGAAUCAUAUAAAAGAGUAAUUCAAUCCCUUCGGGGGCGCAGGUUCAAAUCCUGCAGGCGUCG
rfam:Dictyostelium discoideum AX4 chromosome 3, whole genome shotgun sequence.